GACGAACGCUGGCGGCGUGCUUAACACAUGCAAGUCGAACGAUGAAGCCGGAGCUUGCUCUGGUGGAUUAGUGGCGAACGGGUGAGUAACACGUGAGUAACCUGCCCUUGACUCUGGGAUAAGCGUUGGAAACGACGUCUAAUACCGGAUACGAGCUAGGACCGCAUGGUCACUAGCUGGAAAGAAUUUCGGUCAAGGAUGGACUCGCGGCCUAUCAGUUAGUUGGUGAGGUAACGGCUCACCAAGACGACGACGGGUAGCCGGCCUGAGAGGGUGACCGGCCACACUGGGACUGAGACACGGCCCAGACUCCUACGGGAGGCAGCAGUGGGGAAUAUUGCACAAUGGGCGCAAGCCUGAUGCAGCAACGCCGCGUGAGGGACGACGGCCUUCGGGUUGUAAACCUCUUUUGGCAGGGAAGAAGCGCAAGUGACGGUACCCGCAGAAAAAGCACCGGCUAACUACGUGCCAGCCGCCGCGGUAAUAC
rnacentral:rRNA from 1 species